rnacentral:tRNA from 1 species
AGGCACGUAGCUCAGUGGUAGAGCACCGCUCUGACACGGCGGGGGUCGCCGGUUCAAGCCCGGCCGUGCCUACCA